UACGUAGGGUGCAAGCGUUGUCCGGAAUUAUUGGGCGUAAAGAGCUCGUAGGCGGUCUGUCGCGUCUGCUGUGAAAACUCGGGGCUUAACCCCGGGCCUGCAGUGGGUACGGGCAGACUAGAGUGCGGUAGGGGAGACUGGAAUUCCUGGUGUAGCGGUGAAAUGCGCAGAUAUCAGGAGGAACACCGGUGGCGAAGGCGGGUCUCUGGGCCGAUACUGACGCUGAGAAGCGAAAGCGUGGGGAGCGAACAGG
rnacentral:rRNA from 1 species